rnacentral:rRNA from 1 species
CCUACGGGAGGCUGCAGUGAGGAAUAUUGGUCAAUGGGCGGAAGCCUGAACCAGCCAAGUCGCGUGCAGGAUGACGGUCCUACGGGUUGUAAACUGCUUUUAUACGGGAAUAACGCGUCUUACGUGUAGGGCUUUGCAUGUACCGUAAGAAUAAGGACCGGCUAAUUCCGUGCCAGCAGCCGCGGUAAUACGGAGGGUCCGGGCGUUAUCCGGAUUUAUUGGGUUUAAAGGGAGGGUAGGCGGGAUGUCAAGCGUGCUGUGAAAUGCCCGGGCUCAACCCGGGCCGUGCAGCGCGAACUGGCGGGCUUGAGUCCGCGGAAAGCAGGCGGAAUUCGUGGUGUAGCGGUGAAAUGCUUAGAUAUGACGAAGAACCCCGAUUGCGAAGGCAGCUUGCUGCAGCGGAACUGACGCUGAGGCACGAAAGCGCGGGUAUCGAACAGGAUUAGAUACCCCUGUAGUC